GAUCGGCUCAGUAGGUAGAGCAUCCCGAUUUAUCGGGAGUGGUCCUGGGUUCGAUCCCCAGGCGAAUCA
rnacentral:tRNA from 1 species